rnacentral:rRNA from 1 species
AUUGAACGCUGGCGGCAGGCCUAACACAUGCAAGUCGAACGAGUGGCGGACGGGUGAGUAAUGUCUGGGAAACUGCCCGAUGGAGGGGGAUAACUACUGGAAACGGUAGCUAAUACCGCAUACUCUCGGAUGUGCCCAGAUGGGAUUAGCUAGUAGGUGGGGUAACGGCUCACCUAGGCGACGACCCCUAGCUGGUCUGAGAGGAUGACCGGCCAAAUGGGAAUUGAGACACGGUCCAGAUUCCAACGGGGGGCAGCAGUGGGGAAUAUUGCAAAAUGGGCGCAAGCCGAAUGCAGCCAUGCGGCGUGGAUGAAGAAGGCCUUCGGGUUGUAAAGUACUUUCAGCGGGGAGGCGUUACUCGCAGAAGAAGCACCGGCUAACUCCGUGCCAGCAGCCGCGGUAAUAC